AGAGUUUGAUCCUGGCGUCAGGAUGAACGCUGGCGGCGUGCUUAACACAUGCAAGUCGAACGAUGAUCUUGGUGCUUGCACCGGGUGGAUUAGUGGCGAACGGGUGAGUAACACGUGAGUAACCUGCCCCGACUCUGGGAUAAGCCCGGGAAACUGGGUCUAAUACCGGAUAUUCACUUCCUUCCGCAUGGGAGGUGGUGGAAAGAUUUAUCGGUGGGGGAUGGACUCGCGGCCUAUCAGCUUGUUGUGGGGUAAUGGCCCACCAAGGCGACGACGGGUAGCCGGCCUGAGAGGGUGGCCGGCCACACUGGGACUGAGACACGGCCCAGACUCCUACGGGAGGCAGCAGUGGGGAAUAUUGCACAAUGGGCGAAAGCCUGAUGCAGCGACGCCGCGUGAGGGAUGACGGCCUUCGGGUUGUAAACCUCUUUCAGUAGGGAAGAAGCGAAAGUGACGGUACCUGCAGAAGAAGCGCCGGCUAACUACGUG
rnacentral:rRNA from 1 species